rnacentral:lncRNA from 1 species
GUUGAAGAUAGUGUCCCAUAGGCAGGUGGAACACCACCUCUGGCAACAUCCAAAUAGUCUGAAAGAAUCAAGCAUUGAAUUUCUUUCAGCAACCUGUACUUAAGCUGAUUGAUGUCCCAUAUGGAGAAACUUCAAGGGUUGACAACUGCUUCC